GACGAACGCUGGCGGCGUGCUUAACACAUGCAAGUCGAACGGAAAGGCUCCAGCUUGCUGGAGUACUCGAGUGGCGAACGGGUGAGUAACACGUGGGUAAUCUGCCCUGCACUUUGGGAUAAGUCUGGGAAACUGGGUCUAAUACUGGAUAGGACCUUUCUCCUUAUGGGGGGUGGUGGAAAGUUUUUCGGUGUAGGAUGAGCCCGCGGCCUAUCAGCUUGUUGGUGGGGUGAUGGCCUACCAAGGCGACGACGGGUAGCCGGCCUGAGAGGGUGAUCGGCCACAUUGGGACUGAGAUACGGCCCAGACUCCUACGGGAGGCAGCAGUGGGGAAUAUUGCACAAUGGGCGGAAGCCUGAUGCAGCAACGCCGCGUGAGGGAUGACGGCCUUCGGGUUGUAAACCGCUUUCGGCUGGGACGAAGCGUAAGUGACGGUAACUGCAGAAGAAGCACCGGCUAACUAUGUG
rnacentral:rRNA from 1 species